UUGGUGCAAAAGUAAUUGUGGUUUUUGCCAUUAAAAGUAUUGGCAAAAGCCACAGUUACUUUUGCACCAAUAUAAUA
ensembl:miRNA